rnacentral:SRP_RNA from 1 species
GCCCUCCGGCGGCACGACCAGCUCCUGCUGAAUCCCCCAGGUCUUGACGGAAGCAAGGGUAGGCGGUUGUAGCGGUGCGAUGCCGCCUCUU